GUGAGGAAUAUUGCGCAAUGGAGGCAACUCUGACGCAGCCAUGCCGCGUGCAGGAAGAAGGCGCUACGCGUUGUAAACUGCUUUUAACCGGGAAGAAACCCCAGGACGUGUCCUGGGUUGACGGUACCGGAGGAAUAAGCACCGGCUAACUUCGUGCCAGCAGCCGCGGUAAUACGAAGGGUGCAAGCGUUAUCCGGAUUCAUUGGGUUUAAAGGGUGCGUAGGCGGAGCGUUAAGUCAGUGGUGAAAUCCUGCAGCUUAACUGUAGACUUGCCAUUGAUGCUGGCGCUCUUGAGUGCGCUUGAAGUGGGCGGAAUGUGCCGUGUAGCGGUGAAAUGCUUAGAUAUGGCACAGAACACCAAUUGCGAAGGCAGCUCACUAAGGCGAUACUGACGCUGAGGCACGAAAGCGUGGGGAUCGAACAGGAUUAGAUACCCUAGUAGUCC
rnacentral:rRNA from 1 species